GGAAGCGUGGCCGAGUGGUCUAAGGCGCUAGUUUAAGGCACUAGUCCUCCGGGGCGUGAGUUCGAAUCUCACCGCUUUCA